UACACAUCAUAUCUAAUCUACUUCAUAAAAUCUAAAGGUGUGAGGUACAGCAAGAACACCUUGUGCUGUGCAAUUCUCCCCAUGCCUCUGUGUACCUGGGCUGUUGCAUUGCUUGCUUGAAAGGACGUAGGGACUUCAGGCUAGGAAAAGCUAGAGGAGCAAAGGUAAGAGGUCCCUUGUACCGAAUUGCAGCAGGCAGUUCAUAUUUCUGGGGGGAAAAAAGUUAUUCUGCUGUUGCAAGAGUUGCAGCAGAUGGUCCUGAAGAGCAGUGGUGAUGAAGUAACCUGUUCUGGCCAGCCCCAGCCCGCUGCUCUCAGAGAAGGACAAGUGAUGGUCUCUACUGUCACCUGCUGCCUCCCCAGCUGCUAGGUCAUCAGGCAGUACAGUGUACUGAUUUUGUUCAUGUAAAGCAAAGUUUUUUUUGGUACAUACUCACAGGAAGGAAAUAAAUUAUUUAAGCAGGUGCCCAUCUCCUGCCACUGCCAGGGCUGUUCACUACAGACAGACAUCUCAGCUGCCUGCAGACAGCAGGUAUAGGGGAGUAGGAAGCAAUGUGCAGCCUGGCUGCCUCUGCUGAAGGAUUGGGAUUCUUCAAAGGGGCAGGGUCACAGCAUGCUCUGCCUCCUGGUGUUAGAGCGUGGCCGCUUGUCACUUCUUAUCGCUGCAUAGACAGUACAGCAGAUCUGAAGGAAGCUGCUGCUUUGUAGGAAGACAUCCAAGAAGGGGUAAACUCCAUGCUGCUACUUUCGGAAGUGCUGUUAACACUUUUCUCCCUUCUACAAUUCAGCUGUUUGUGCUGUUUGCUGCAGUGUGCCACUCACAGUACACAAGAAUGCUGCUGAAAUCAAACUUAGGGCAUCACGGUUUAACACAGACAGUUUUCUGUUCCUGUGAGUGGUGCAGUACCAAGACUGGAUGUAACAUUCUCUGUAAUAGGACAGGUGCUUCCAGACUGCAGUGUGAGCAAAACUGGCAUUACAUGACCCUUGGGGAAAACUGCUUCUUGUGCAGUGCAUGGCCCAUCCUAAACGUGGAGCAGAUGGUAGCACUGAGGUCAGAGCAUGGCCUGGCACCCAACUCGUGUGCUCCUGCUGGAAGGAGGGCCCAAGCCUCCUCCCUGCCUUCCCUGCAAAGAGCCAGGGUGGGAGCAGAUGGGGACUUCCCUUCUGACAGCAUGGGACAUUUGUGAGAACAUCUCACAGCUGACUUCUCCCUAUGAAAGUGCUUUAUGUUCCAGGCAGAAAGCCGAGUGAGUGGAAUAAGACCAAAUACUGUGGUUUUGCUAAGUAAGGGACCAUUCAGUCUGUGCUUAGAGCUGAGCAGUCACGUGGUC
rnacentral:lncRNA from 1 species